rnacentral:misc_RNA from 1 species
GAUGAGAACGUAGCGAAAUGCGAUACUUGGUGUGAAUUGCAGAAUCCCGUGAACCAUCGAGUCUUUGAACGCAAGUUGCGCCUGAAGCCAUUAGGCCGAGGGCACGCCUGCCUGGGCGUCACACGUCGUUGCCCCCCCCAUCUACUCCUUCGGGAUUGCGGGGGGCGGAUGAUGGCCUCCCGUGCGCCUCGCCGCGCGGUUGGCAUAAAUGCCAAGUCCUCGGCGAUGCACGCCACGACAAUCGGUGGUUGCGAAACCUCGGUUGCCCGUCGUGUGCGGUCGUCGCGCAUCGAGGGCUCGAAAAAAUUGCCGGGUUCCGGCUCGGCUUUCAACGCGACCCCAGGUCAGGCGGGGUUACCCGCUGAAUUUAAGCAUAUCAAUAAGCGGAGGA